rnacentral:rRNA from 1 species
GAAUGUUGGACAAUGGGCGAAAGCCUGAUCCAGCAAUGCCGCGUGAGUGAUGAAGGCCUUAGGGUUGUAAAGCUCUUUUACCCGAGAUGAUAAUGACAGUAUCGGGAGAAUAAGCUCCGGCUAACUCCGUGCCAGCAGCCGCGGUAAUACGAAGGGGGCUAGCGUUGUUCGGAUUUACUGGGCGUAAAGCGCGUGUAGGCGGACUUGUAAGUUGGGGGUGAAAUCCCGAGGCUCAACCUCGGAACUGCCUCCAAAACUACAAGUCUGGAGCAAGAUAGAGGCAAGUGGAAUUGCGAGUGUAGAGGUGAAAUUCGUAGAUAUUCGCAGGAACACCAGUGGCGAAGGCGACUUGCUGGAUCUUUGCUGACGCUGAGACGCGAAAGCGUGGGGAGCAAACAGG